rnacentral:rRNA from 1 species
GACGAACGCUGGCGGCGUGCUUAACACAUGCAAGUCGAACGGAAAGGCCCUGCUUUUGUGGGGUGCUCGAGUGGCGAACGGGUGAGUAACACGUGAGUAACCUGCCCUUGACUUUGGGAUAACUUCAGGAAACUGGGGCUAAUACCGGAUAGGAGCUCCUGCUGCAUGGUGGGGGUUGGAAAGUUUCGGCGGUUGGGGAUGGACUCGCGGCUUAUCAGCUUGUUGGUGGAGUAGUGGCUUACCAAGGCUUUGACGGGUAGCCGGCCUGAGAGGGUGACCGGCCACAUUGGGACUGAGAUACGGCCCAGACUCCUACGGGAGGCAGCAGUGGGGAAUAUUGCACAAUGGGCGGAAGCCUGAUGCAGCAACGCCGCGUGCGGGAUGACGGCCUUCGGGUUGUAAACCGCUUUCGCCUGUGACGAAGCGUGAGUGACGGUAAUGGGGAAAGAAGCACCGGCUAACUACGU